CCUACGGGAGGCAGCAGUGGGGAAUAUUGGACAAUGGGCGCAAGCCUGAUCCAGCCAUGCCGCGUGAGUGAUGAAGGCCUUAGGGUUGUAAAGCUCUUUUGUCCGGGAAGAUAAUGACUGUACCGGAAGAAUAAGCCCCGGCUAACUUCGUGCCAGCAGCCGCGGUAAUACGAAGGGGGCUAGCGUUGCUCGGAAUCACUGGGCGUAAAGGGCGCGUAGGCGGACUCUUAAGUCGGGGGUGAAAGCCCAGGGCUCAACCCUGGAAUUGCCUUCGA
rnacentral:rRNA from 1 species